GGAGUGCAAUUCGGUUUAAAUAGUGAAAGAAAUAAAAUAAAAAUGCAGGAAAAAAGUUGUGGCGCAAAGUGGGUGAUCCGGCGUAACACCUGUGUAAAGCUGAGGCGGUGGUCAGUUUCUGUUUCUAAGUUGCAGCAGUCUCUACUCUCUAGCUGGCUAGUCUCAUGUGGAAGAGUGUUGAAUGAAGUUGGACAGAUAUCUUCAAGCGAUGUUUGAGUCUGCAACACUGGAGAAAAAUGGAGUUAUUUGGUUGCAAAGUUGGAUGAGUUAGAGAAAGUUAAAAUGAACUGGUAAGCACAAGAGUUGUUUUUAUUUUAUCACAAACGUGCCUAUUGAACACAUUGAUAUUCUAUACUUGUAUCAUAUACCUAUUAGAGACUGGAUCAAGUGUUUCAGUCUGGAAGCUCAGCUUUCCUUUUGGAUUAAAACAUUGAGCUCUCGACAGGAUGUGCUGUGCCAAGACAAUUGUGGAAUCCUAACAGGAUCUGACGCCAACUUGCAAGUUCAAAACACAUUGAAAAGUCGCU
rnacentral:lncRNA from 1 species